ACAAUUAGGAGGUUCUUGAUAACCUCGGAAAGUUUUCAACUGAGUGUUAGAGAAGUCAUAUUACUGUGAAUUAAGAAUAGGAAAGAAUUGAAGAAGGGCAGACAAAAGGCACAAAUAAUCUGUUGGAAAGGACUUUGAAAUUCUUAUAUACUAAAGGGAAAGAGCCAGUUAAGAUGAAAGUUCAAAUACAAUAGAAAGCAGAAUAAUGAUUACUUCAUAAUUUCUGCAUAUUGCUUCAAAAUUACUGUAGAAUCAAUGCCUUUAAAGAUUGUUAAUUUACCUGGACAGGAAUUUCAAACAUUUAAAAAAGUCAGAAUUAUAUUUAAUCUUCUUAUUUUUACAAGCUGGAAUUAUCUAUAGGUAUUUUGUGGUGAAGAUGAACUCUAGAAUCAGGUACUGCAAUUUGAAUGCUGGCUCCACAACUGAUAAGGUACAUGCCCUGGGACAAACCACACCACCUCUCAGA
rnacentral:lncRNA from 10 species